AAUGCUUUGAUUUCAGACAAUAUAGCAUAGUUGUACAUCACUACAAUGGUAAAUUUUAUAGGAUGUUUCAAUCUAAAAAGUGGGGGUGUGAGGAUUAUGUUCAAACUUCAAUAUCGCAGACACAUUUCAUAUAGCAUCAUUUUU